CUUAACUGCUUUAUCAAAGUUUCUGCUGGAAGUUUAUAGGGAGGAGUAAAGAUACUGAGAAAAAAAAUUCUCAAAUUCUCUAUAACAUUCUCAAAAUAAGAAACUGAUUUAGUGGGAUGCUAAUAUGUUAUAGUGCUGAUGUUCGGAGAUGUUUAGGUUCAUCACGUAUGCUAGCAUGCUAACGGGCAUCCAGAAGCGGAUGAUUUUCACAGCAUAUCUGUUCAUUUUGUUGUGUGUGAAAGAACGCUAUUGACUCGAGGAUGAAUCUUGGCUUUCUUGUGGUUGUACUGAUGCCAGGCGUCCUUCAGUGCAACGAAAGGGAGACCCUUGCUCUUGCAAACAGCCUCUGAGAACAGUGAAUGCGUGAAUGGGUUUUUCAGGCACACCUCGUAGACGUUGUAAGGAAUGCACAGCAAUCACACCCUAAAAUGGCCGAAACAACGCCAUUUUGUUUUUCCUCUAUUUUGCAGUAAGGAAUAGCAGAAUCAGCUUUGUUAAAGCUAUAGGAGACAGCUGGGGAAGCCAUGUUUUACAUCGUCUGUUUACCUCAAAUGCGUAGCUUACACAAUGUUGUCUUGUUGGAAUGAGCUCAGUUUUUGGCAAAAUGGGCGCAAAUUCCUGGCCAAGGAUCAAGACUUUUUUUCUUCAUGAUCCAAUGCCAGCCUCGCUACAAUGAGAAUCCAGCAGUCUGCUGUCUGGCUGGUUGACAUCUGUUCUGCUGUCCUUGGGGCUGAGGUAGUAGAUUGGAUAGUUGUGGAGCCCUGUGCUCUCUCACUGAGAUAACUAUACAAUCUACUGUCUUUCCUAAGGCGACAGCCAAAUCAUCCACAAACAACAUGGACUCGUUUGAAAAAGUGUCUGCAUUCCUCCAGUGAGUCGGAAAGGAUAUUCACUCACAUUACAGAAGUAAAAUGGGCUGGGAUUACACGCAAACAUGUCAGGUGUUGGGACUGUCCUUUGGUGUCCUGACAGGG